UAGGGAAUAUUGGUAAUGUGCGAAAGCGCGAACCAGCAACGCCGCGCGCACGAUGAAGGCCUUCGGGUCGUAAAGUGCUUUUAGAGAGGAUGAGGAAGGACAGUACUUUCUGAAUAAGCCUCGGCUAACUACGUGCCAGCAGCCGCGGUAAAACGUAGGAGGCUAGCGUUAUCCGGAUUUACUGGGCGUAAAGCGCAUGCAGGUGGUUUUGUAAGUUGGAUGUGAAAGCUCCUGGCUUAACUGGGAGAGGUCGUUCAAAACUACAAGACUUGAGAUUGGUAGAGGAAAAUGGAAUUCCGGGUGUAGUGGUGAAAUGCGUAGAUAUCCGGAGGAACACCAGUGGCGAAAGCGGUUUUCUGGACCAAUUCUGACACUCAGAUGCGAAAGCUAAGGUAGCAAACG
rnacentral:rRNA from 1 species